AAACCUGACCCCAGAGUAUGCCAGACCCGCCACAAAUACAGGGAUUCCACUAUUCACACGGACAGAGUCUCCCAUAUAUUUGCACGGCGUCGCACAAGUACAACAGUACAAACAUGAUACAACCACAACUAAAUGAAUAUAGAAAUCACCAUACAUUCAUACAUUCACCAUUCACAUCACAGGUUUGCAUUCAAUGUCUAAACAUAAAUCCAUAGAAAAUCUUUUGAAAACUGUUCCCUACACAGGAACCUUUAUUCUUUAAAAACGCUACCACGAGGGGUAGAAAACCUUUUAUUUUACAAAAUCCAGAAAUCCACAUUUUCAAAUGUAAAUAAAUACUGAACCACAUAAACCAACUAAACUAUACAUCGACCGAAAUAAGAAGGGUAAGAAACUAAACCGAACAAC
rnacentral:lncRNA from 1 species